GAUGAACGCUGGCGGUCUGCUUAACACAUGCAAGUCGAACGAACUCUUCGGAGUGAGUGGCGGACGGGUGAGUAACGCGUGAGAAUCUGCCUGUGGGUCGGGGACAACCACUGGAAACGGUGGCUAAUACCGGAUGAGCCGAAAGGUAAAAGAUUUAUUGCCCACAGAUGAGCUCGCGUCUGAUUAGCUAGUUGGUAAGGUAAAAGCGUACCAAGGCGACGAUCAGUAGCUGGUCUGAGAGGAUGAGCAGCCACACUGGGACUGAGACACGGACCAGACUCCUACGGGAGCAGCAGUGAGGAAUAUGGACAAUGGUGGAACACUGAUCCAGCCAUGCCCGUGCAGGAUGACUGCCCUAUGGGUUGUAAA
rnacentral:rRNA from 1 species